rnacentral:RNase_P_RNA from 1 species
AGGAAAGUCCGGGCUCCAUAGGGCAAGGAUAACAGGUAACGCCUGCCGGGGGUGACCCCAGGAAAAGUGCAACAGAAAGAUACCGCCCUGCCUUGCAGGGUAAGGAUGGAAAGGCGAGGUAAGAGCUCACCCGCCGCAUGGAGACAUCGCGGCGCUGUAAACUCUAUCCGGAGCAACACCGUGGAGGAGAUAAGGCUGGCCCGGCUGUCUCCGAGGAGGUGGCUGGAGCGCACGGGCGACCGUGCGCCUAGAUAGAUGGCUGUCCACGACAGAACCCGGCUUACAGGCCCGAUU